GCCCAGGUGGUGGAAUAGGCAGACACAAGGGACUUAAAAUCCCUCGCCGCAAGGCAUGCGGGUUCGACCCCCGCCCUGGGCA
rnacentral:tRNA from 1 species